CGAAGCCCCAGUGAACGGCGGCCGUAACUAUAACGGUCCUAAGGUAGCGAAAUUCCUUGUCAGGUAAGUUCUGACCCGCACGAAAGGCGUAAUGAUCCCUUCGCUGUCUCGGCUGCAGACUCGGUGAAAUUUUAGUACCUGUGAAGAUGCAGGUUACCCGCAACUAGACGGAAAGACCCCAUGGAGCUUUACUAUAGCUUGAUAUUGGGUUUUGAUAUAGCAUGUAUAGGAUAGGUGGGAGACUUUGAAGCAGUAACGCUAGUUGUUGUGGAGUCAUCCUUGGAAUACCACCCUUGUUAUGUCGGAAUCCUAACCUAGAUCUGUAAGCCAGAUCAGAGACAGUGU
rnacentral:rRNA from 1 species